CUUUAAUCCAAUUGUCCUGUGUCUCUUGAGUUAAUUUGUGCAAAUGUCUUUUGAUAAUGUCAUUAGCUUUUUCAAGCUUUCCUGAGGAUUGGGGUCUCCAGGAACAGUGUAAGUGAUAUUCUAUUCCUAGCGCUUUAGAUACUCCCUGAGUUACCGCAGCUUUAAAGGCGGAGCCAUUGUCACUCUGAAGGCUCCGUGGCAGCCCAAACCUGGGGAUAAUUUCAUGGAUUGAAAUCUCUAUAAUCUCCUUAGCCUGUUCACUAUGACAGGGAAAAGCCUCAAUCUGUUAAGGGAAGCACACUGAUUGAAACCGCCCACUCUGGCCAGGCACCAUAGUAACCAUUUGCAUGAGUUGUUUCACGACAGGAGGUCCUGGUAAGGAAAAGGGAACUAAUAAGCCUCCACCAACCAGAAGAGUUCAGAAAAGGUCAAAAGGAGACACCACCUGUCUGACGACCUCCCAGAAUCCUUCUCUCUGGCAUCCAUCUUGGCUGAACAAGGCGUGCACCACCAGGAAGGACUCUGAGUCAGAAUGAUUGGCUAAGGACAACCCGGAAACUAAUCCCAUCACCAUAAAACCCAGACUGCAAGCCACAUAGCACAGCAGUUCUCCUGGAUUCCCUUACCCUACUGCUUUAUGCCUGGACGCCCUUUCGCAAUAAAAUCUCUUGCUUUGUCAGCACAUGCGUCUCCUCAGACAAUUCGUUUCCGAGUGUUAGACAAGAGCCCAAUUUCAGGCCCUGGAAGGGGUCCCCCUUCCUGCAACAAAUAGCGACUCUGGUGGGAUUCUUUUUUGUUGAGACUGACAUCCUGACCACUUGAGGAGACUGACAUCCUGACCACUUGAGGUACUCAGGGGCCAGCUUGCCCGCCAAUGGACCAGACCCAGCAGCUGCAACUGAGACCCUUUUGUCCCUGGUCUCCUCCUGACGCAGACAACUGGCCAGAGUGCCCUGACCGCUUGUCUCAGCAAUCUAUCUUUGGAUAAAGAUCAGAUGCCUCAUGACCUGCAGCCAGGACUGAAAAAAGACAAUUUAAGAGACUGUCUCCAACCAGGAUGAAAGGACUUUUUAAUCAGACCUUGCUAGAUGUUUCCAUAAAGGUAGAGAAAAGGAUCCUGCAGGAGAAAAGAAACUGAGACCUUUUGAAAAGACUCCAAAUGGUGAAGAAUCUGAUGAAGAAAGUCAAAGACUAUGAAGAUUUAAGUGAAAUGUAGCAAUAAAUGAUG
ensembl:lncRNA